UACAGAGGGUGCGAGCGUUGUUCGGAAUUACUGGGCGUAAAGCGCGCGCAGGCGGCUCUUUAAGUCUCGUGGGCAAAUGCCGGGGCUCAACCCCGAGCGUGCCGGGGAUACUGGAGGGCUGGAGACAGGUAGAGGCAAGCGGAAUUCCGGGUGUAGCGGUGGAAUGCGUAGAGAUCCGGAAGAACACCGGAGGCGAAGGCGGCUUGCUGGACCUGGUCUGACGCUGAGGCGCGAAAGCGUGGGGAGCGAACAGG
rnacentral:rRNA from 1 species